rnacentral:rRNA from 1 species
CAGUAGCCGCGGGAAUACCGAGGGUGCGAGCGUUAAUCGGAUUUACUGGGCGUAAAGCGUGCGUAGGCGGCUUUUUAAGUCGGAUGUGAAAUCCCUGAGCUUAACUUAGGAAUUGCAUUCGAUACUGGGAAGCUAGAGUAUGGGAGAGGAUGGUAGAAUUCCAGGUGUAGCGGUGAAAUGCGUAGAGAUCUGGAGGAAUACCGAUGGCGAAGGCAGCCAUCUGGCCUAAUACUGACGCUGAGGUACGAAAGCAUGGGGAGCAAACAGGAUUAGAUACCCCAGUAGUCCCUGUCUCUUAUAC